CCCGGCACUGCGGGACAUCAGAGGGCACUGGGCUGGGAAUGGCCAUGGGACGGGGGCAGCAGCACCCCAGGGCNCGGCCCUUCAUGGCACGGAGCACGGCUGGGAACAGCUGUGGGAGCGGGGUUUGUGGGGUGGGACGGGCCUGGACAGCCCUGCUCCCACACAGUGCCCACCCCAGUGCCAGGGCAUGCACUCGGACAUGGAGACAAAGCAGGGCAGAAUUCCAGGUGUGGCCAGCAGGACAUGGCCAUGGAGGAGGAGGAGGAGCCCAGGGGCAGCAGGAGAUGCAGCAAUGGAGUUGGGCUGGUGUGGAGCCACCAGCCAAAAUCCCAGGAACACCAGCAGGGGACAAGUCACGGGUCAGUGGUGGCCACAGCAGUGCUGGGGAAUGGUGGGACUUGAUGGUCCCAGAGGGACUGCCAAUCCAAAUGGCUCCAUGGCCUGUUACUGAGGUGGGAGUGGGGCUGUGCUCCCAGGGAACAGGGACAGCAGGAGAUGCAGCAGAUUCAAGCUGGGCCAGGGAAGGCUCAGGGGGGACAUCAGAAGGAAUUUCCCCACAGAAAGGCUGCUCAGGCACUGUCACAGCUGUCCAGGGAGGUUUGGAGUCCCCAUCCCUGGAGGGAUUUCAAGGAUAUAUAUGGAUGUGGCACUUGGGGACAUGGUCAGCAGUGGCCUUGGCAGUGUUGUGGAUGGUUGGACCCAAUGGGCUCAGAGGGAUUUUCCAACCUCAGUAACUCUGUGAUUCCACAACUUUCUGACCCUAAGUCAACCAGCAGGACGUGGGCACAGGACAGGAAUGUCCUCUCCAUCCACAGAGGACACCGACCCCCAUCCGCAGCCCCCCUCACCUUUUUGGCCUCCAGCAUCUUGUUCUCGAAGACGUAGGAGAUGCAGUUCCUGACCACCUCCAGGCGCCGGGCGCUGUUGGCCAGGGCGUUCCCGUUGCGCUCCAGGAUGGCAGCUGGGUGGAACAGAUCCCGUCACUCUGGGUGGGGCAGGGCUGGCACCCGGGGGGACACCGCGUCCCCCUGC
rnacentral:lncRNA from 1 species